rnacentral:rRNA from 1 species
GACGAACGCUGGCGGCGUGCUUAACACAUGCAAGUCGAACGGAAAGGCCCCUUUGGGGGUACUCGAGUGGCGAACGGGUGAGUAACACGUGAGUAACCUGCCCUUGUCUUCGGGAUAACUUCAGGAAACUGGGGCUAAUACCGGAUAGGAAUCCUUGCUGCAUGGUGGGGGUUGGAAAGCUUCGGCGGUUUUGGAUGGACUCGCGGCUUAUCAGCUUGUUGGUGGGGUAGUGGCUUACCAAGGCUUUGACGGGUAGCCGGCCUGAGAGGGCGACCGGCCACAUUGGGACUGAGAGACGGCCCAGACUCCUACGGGAGGCAGCAGUGGGGAAUAUUGCACAAUGGGCGGAAGCCUGAUGCAGCAACGCCGCGUGCGGGAUGACGGCCUUCGGGUUGUAAACCGCUUUCAGCAGGGGCGAAGCUUGUGGUGACGGUACCUGCAGAAGAAGCACCGGCUAACUACGUG